UGGGCCGGUAACGUGGCUCACGUCAAGCGCUCCGAUCGCUUGGCCGGGCCCGGGGAGUUCGCACCUCCGCCGGGCCGUCC
rnacentral:tRNA from 1 species